CAAAACAAUCCAAAUCCUAAUAACAAUAGGAACAAAUUAUUUUUAUCCUAAUAGAAAUUAUAAACAAUAACCCUAAUUUCUAUAAAGAAAUAACAUAUUAUUUUGAAAUGAAAAGCUAGUUAAUAUGCUUCCUAAUUACAAUAAAAUUGUAAAACUUUCUAGAACUCCAAACUCAACAAUUGCCGUAUAAUCCCUUGUGUUAAGUUAAAUUGCCG
rnacentral:lncRNA from 1 species